AUGAUGAUGUUGUUUUUUUCCUACCAAGUAUCCGUGUAUUACAUUUAGAUGCAUGUGCACCAUUUAGAAAAUGGACAUUGGGCCUCACUCACUCCAAAUGCUAGCUUAUGUGGUGAGAUUACCCAGAGAUAUACAAGGAGACCACAAACCCAUUUCUUCAACCAAUGUGAGGCACUUAACAUCCUCCCCUCUCCUCCUGUCCUCCCCUGUAUGUCAGGGAUUAGACAUUCGGAGAGUAGACAACAUAACAUGGUAGCCUGUAUUGAGUACCAAAGAAUAGGGAUGAGUCUAACUCUGAUGCCUCACCAAGAAAAUGGACCUUAAGGUUAACUCAUUCUAGAACUUAGCUCGUGAGGUGAUUAGACCUUAUAAGACAACAAUAACCUAUUUCUUCAGCAAAUAUGGAAAUACUUGACAACAAAAGUAUUAAGAUCACUUGCGCUUGACAAGUACCCAAAGAAAUAGCUGCAGUGCACACACCAAGCUGGUAGGACACCAUCAUUAGCUAGUGAUUUCUUUUGCUCUUUUUUCCAACAAUAAUGGACAAAAGAUAACUAUUUUUUUUAUAACGAUGGUGACAUGUCCAGUUUGAUGUGCACUAUUUUACCUGGUUUCUGCCAAGCACAUGUAAUAGGUGACUGAGCCCACCAAGGAUGUCCAGCUUGGUGUGCACUAUUUUACCAGGUACCUGCCAAAUCGAAGUACUAGGUAGCUAUGCCCAGUGGAUUCAAGCAUUCAACUGGUUGCUGGUGGGUGGGAUGACUGAGCAAGUUUCAGGCUUUAUUGUACUUUCAAUGUGAUUGUUUUAUUUUGUUGAAUCCACCUUCUCGGCUCUCAUGAACAUGUUCUAUAGUGGGUUUUAUGCUGCUGAGCAAAAACUAUUGAUGGAUAUAGAUUAUUUCCCCUACUUAAAUUAAUCAGACAAAGUGGGGUAAAACCAUUUUCCACAAAGGAAGUUCCAUUCUUAAUUUUAUGUGCCAUUAGAUUAUUUGAUAUAUCAACACAAGUAGCUGAUAGAAUUGUACAUUAUAGCACCUAGUGAUGGGAUUUCAUUCAGAGUAAGGGGAAGCCCAUGUACGCAAGAUGUACCAUAUAAAGAUACUCCCUCUAUUCCAAUUUAUGUGGCUUACUUUCCUUUUUAGUCAGUACCAACAAUUUAACUAUAAACUGUCUAUUUUGCCCUUACUGAAAUGAUAUACAACCACACAAAUUUCUAUCAUUCAUUUUGGACCACAAGUUUUAAAAGUCUUCCUUUAUUUCUGAAACUCCGUGCCGAGUGAAACUACCUCACAUCAAAUGGGACGGACUGAGGGAGUAUUAUUUUCCAUGAAGGUCAUCUGAUCUAUCCUAGAAACUUUAUGUUUUGACCUCUUCAAAAAGAGGCUGAAAAGAGCGACAAUCUUUUUCAUUUGUGAAUGUGUAUCAUUGACACGUUCAAGUGCUCUCUUGCGCCUCUCCUCUUAUUUUUUAAGAAUUAGUACUGUUGUGUUCUUCAGCCUUAAGGAAUGUUGGCCACCUCCAAAAAGUUACAAGGUAGUAAGGUUAAACUUUUAAGUUUUAUUGAGCACCUAAGAAAUUUCUUUUCUAUGUUUCCAGUCUCCCUCGUUACUUCUACUCCACCGCACUAGUUCCUUCUUAAGGAGUUUUAAUUUGUUAGCCAGAGUGAAGGCUGGUUUGCCCGUGUUAGGGAAGGACAACCAGCAAGACCUUCUGUUUGAAUCCUUCUACCUCUAGCCACCAAUUUUCAAAUUUGAAGUAGGUCUUCUUGUAAUUCCAAAUCUCCAUAUGUUAGAAGAAUAGGAUUAUGAUCUGAUCCUAUUCUAGGUAGCAAAGACUGCUUGACCAGUAGGAGAGAGUCCUCCCAGUCAACUGAGUAUAGGAAUCUGUCAAUCUUGGAGGCACUGUUGUGAUUCUUCCCCUCGUCCAUGUUUUUGAUCCUCCAAGAAAAGGAGGAUCAACUAGUUCCAGGUCAUAAAUAGCCUAUGUCAGUUUACCUUCUCUCCCACAAACCUAGUGAUAUUGAAGUCACCACACACUCCCCAAGGGCCCUCCCAAUUGUUUCUGCUAGCCUCCAGUUCACUCCAGAACUCUCUUCUGGUCACCCUAUUACAACUUGCAUAUACAGCACUCAGAAGUCAUGUAAUAUCCUGACAAACACCUGUGAACGUACAUGAUAUCAUUUGUCCAGUAGAGUCUACCAUCUCCCCCACCCAUUCCCUUUUAUCCCACAUUAUCAUAAUCCCUCCUCUGCUACCCCUGGCCUCCAACUGAACUUCUCCCACCCAUCUAUCAGCCCACAACUCCCUCAAAAUAUUGCACCUCUCCUUUUAUCUUUGUUUCUAAAAGAACAUAGAUGUUUGCCCCCCGCUGGUGAAUUAAUUGUUUUACCAAUCUCCUCUUUUCUGUCCCAUUUAAACCCCUUACAUUCCAUGAUAUAAUUUAAUCUUCAUUGGUGAUGGUCUUCUCCCCUCCUUAGUUCACUCCUGGAUUCACCAUCCUUAUAAUUUACCUCAAAAAUUAAAUUCCUGAACUCUUUUGAAAUCAAUUGGUUGUUGACUUUGGCACUUCUCUUCUUUGGUCUAGUUUUUCAAAGAGGGCCUCGGCUUCCUUUUUAAAACCAUAAAAAUGGCUCCAAAUUCCUUGUUCAGUUUAAUUAUGUUCACCCAAGAUCUUGCAUCAGACUUCAACCUGUUAAUGCACUCACUUGAAUCAGCUGAUUUUGUGUACCUUCCCCUGUUUUUUUCAUUCUACCACUUUCAACAAUCAGUUCAGUUUCUGAUCUCACCAUAAUCGGAGUUGUGCUCGCAUCUGUUUCGUGGUUUGAGUUGACCCUCUGUAUGUGGUCCUCGACCCCCUCUCUUGCAGUUGUCUCCCUUGCUUCAUCUUAUAGUCGAAACUUGUCACAGUUCUAAACUCCUCCACAAAGCCCAUAAGGGUGUUUAUGUUUUCCAUGAAAAGGCUCAGCUGGAAUCUUUUCCUUAUAUGAGUUGUUUGUCUUUAAAUUGUUCUGCCCUUUCUCAUUGAAAGAAAAGAAGGGCCACUUUCAUUCGAUAAAGGAGGCCCAUUUUCAUUUAAAAUAAGAGAUGGCCCAACAGAUGGUCUGGAAUAGAAGUGGUCCAGUGGCCCUGCUCUUUUACUGCAGCCAACCACUUGUCCAUUGUUUUUAUUCUCUGUGUAAAGCCCCCAGUCUUCUCCAUUACCCAACAGAUCUUGCAUUGCUAUCUCUUUCCCCUUCAUCUGCAAUUCCUUUCUCCACAGACAUCUGACACAAGCUGUCAUCCCAUUUUUAUGAGAACUUUUGUCCCCUCUUGGUUGUUCAAAAACCCUACCUUUUUUCAACUUUUCAAAUCUUGCUGGUGCCUCUACCCAUAUCAGUAAAGUGAACCUCCAUUCCCCAUCCUCGACUACAACUGAAGUCAGAAUAUUUUCCGCGGUCCUUUUACUUUAAUUCAAGCCCAUCUCAAAUGAUUUUUGAGCUCUAUCUCCUCUUCCGUCUUCAACCAUCCCCUACACUUCUUCCCAAUUUCCUUCAUAACCCCUGCUGACCAAAGUUGGAGUGGCGGACCUAAAACCCUUAUCCAAUAGCAGUUAAAACUGGUAUUGGUAGGGCGCACCCCAGCUACAGGUGUCCACCAAUCAAGCUUGAGUUUGCUUCCCUGCUUUCUCCAAGAACCUUCCAUAACAUGCUCCACACCCUUCACACUUUGGAACUCAAACAGGAAUUGAAUCCCGUUCAUGUCAAAAACUUGGAUGUUAUGGAUUCUGACCCAAGACUGCUCGGUGACAACUACUUAAUGCGUCCUAGCAUAACAGAGUUCAUGUCAAACUAAGCAUAACAUUUGACAGCUUUGCAGCCUCAAUUUCCUUUGUCAAGUCGAACUAAGCUUUAACGCCACAAUCUCUCGUCAACAAUAUCACAUGUUGGGAACUGUCCUACAACUGUUUAUCGUGUUGCCUCUCUGCGCGUUUAGUUAUUAUCCUUCACUUUAUGCUGAGUGAUAUGUAAUGCACAGCUUUAUACAUGUUUUAUAGUGCCUGUUUUUUUCAG